rnacentral:tRNA from 2 species
GACCCUAUAGCUCAAAUGGAUAGAGCUCGAGUUUCCUAAACUUGAGAUCCAGGUUCAAUUCCUGGUGGGGUCACCA